rnacentral:rRNA from 1 species
UACGUAGGGUGCAAGCGUUAAUCGGAAUUACUGGGCGUAAAGCGUGCGCAGGCGGUGAUGUAAGACAGAUGUGAAAUCCCCGGGCUCAACCUGGGACCUGCAUUUGUGACUGCAUCGCUAGAGUACGGUAGAGGGGGAUGGAAUUCCGCGUGUAGCAGUGAAAUGCGCAGAUAUCAGGAGGAACACCGAUGGCGAAGGCAGCUUACUGGGCCGAAACUGACGCUGAGGAGCGAAAGCGUGGGGAGCGAACAGG